AGUGAACGCUGGCGGUAGGCCUGACACAUGCAAGUCGAACGGCAGCACAGUAAGAGCUUGCUCUUACGGGUGGCGAGUGGCGGACGGGUGAGGAAUACAUCGGAAUCUACUUUUUCGUGGGGGAUAACGUAGGGAAACUUACGCUAAUACCGCAUACGACCUACGGGUGAAAGCAGGGGAUCUUCGGACCUUGCGCGAUUGAAUGAGCCGAUGUCGGAUUAGCUAGUUGGCGGGGUAAAGGCCCACCAAGGCGACGAUCCGUAGCUGGUCUGAGAGGAUGAUCAGCCACACUGGAACUGAGAAACGGUCCAGACUCCUACGGGAGGCAGCAGUGGGGAAUAUUGGACAAUGGGCGCAAGCCUGAUCCAGCCAUACCGCGUGGGUGAAGAAGGCCUUCGGGUUGUAAAGCCCUUUUGUUGGGAAAGAAAAGCAGAAGGUUAAUACCCCGCUGUUCUGACGGUACCCAAAGAAUAAGCACCGGCUAACUUCGUG
rnacentral:rRNA from 1 species